rnacentral:rRNA from 1 species
UCUGGUUGAUCCUGCCUGAACUGAUGUGUUCAUUUCAAAGAUUAAGCCAUGCAUGUAUAAGUUUAAUCGUUUUAACGAGAAACCGCGAACGGCUCAUUACAAUGGCCAUGAUUUACUUGAUCUUGAUUAUCUAAAUGGAUAACUGUGGAAAAGCUAGAGCUAAUACAUGCACCAAAGCUUUGUCCUCUCGGAAAAGCGCAUUUAUUAGAACAAAACCACGCGGCUUCGGCUGCUUCUUGUUGACUCAGAAUAACUAAGCUGACCGCAUGGCCUUGUGCCGGCGGCGUGUCUUUCAAGCGUCCACUUUAUCAACUUGACGGGAGCAUAAUCGACUCCCGUGGUGGUGACGGAUAACGGAGGAUCAGGGUUCGACUCCGGAGAAGGGGCCUGAGAAAUGGCCACUACGUCUAAGGAUGGCAGCAGGCGCGCAAAUUACCCACUCUCGGCUCGAGGAGGUAGUGACGAGAAAUAACGAGAUCGUUCUCUUUGAGGCCGGUCAUCGGAAUGGGUACAAUUUAAACCCUUUAACGAGUAUCAAGCAGAGGGCAAGUCUGGUGCCAGCAGCCGCGGUAAUUCCAGCUCUGCUAAUACAUAGAAUUAUUGCUGCGGUUAAAAAGCUCGUAGUUGGAUUCGUAUCGGUACCCUGGAACCCUCCGGGUGUUUCUGGGUGUUAUCGGUUUAUCGUAAUGUUCGGUUUUGAGUCCUUAACAGGAUUCUUAACAGGCAUUGCAAGUUUACUUUGAACAAAUCAGAGUGCUUCAAACAGGCGUUUUCGCUUGAAUGAUCGUGCAUGGAAUAAUAGAAAACGAUUUCGGUUCAGUUUUUAUUGGUUUUACGGACUGAGAUAAUGGUUAACAGAGACAAACGGGGGCAUUUGUAUGGCCCCGUGAGAGGUGAAAUUCUUGGACCGUGGCCAGACAAACUACAGCGAAAGCAUUUGCCAAGAAUGUCUUCAUUAAUCAAGAACGAAAGUCAGAGGUUCGAAGGCGAUCAGAUACCGCCCUAGUUCUGACCGUAAACGAUGCCAACUAGCGAUCCGCCGAUGGAAAUUAUAUUGCCUUGGUGGGGAGCUUCCCGGAAACGAAAGUCUUCCGGUUCCGGGGGAAGUAUGGUUGCAAAGCUGAAACUUAAAGGAAUUGACGGAAGGGCACCACCAGGAGUGGAGCCUGCGGCUUAAUUUGACUCAACACGGGGAAACUUACCCGGCCCGGACACUGUGAGGAUUGUCAGAUUGAUAGCUUUUUCAUGAUUCAGUGGAUGGUGGUGCAUGGCCGUUCUUAGUUCGUGGAGUGAUUUGUCUGGUUUAUUCCGAUAACGAGCGAGACUCUAACCUACUAAAUAGCUGGUACAUAAUUUACGUGUAUACAGCUUCUUAGAGGGAUUUGCGGUGUUCAGCCGAAAGAAAUUGAGCAAUAACAGGUCUGUGAUGCCCUUAGAUGUCCGGGGCUGCACGCGCGCUACACUGGCAAAAUCAACGUGCUUGUCCUACCCCGAAAGGGGGGUAAACCAUUGAAAAUUUGCCGUGAUUGGGAUCGGAAAUUGCAAUUAUUUUCCGUGAACGAGGAAUUCCAAGUAAGUGCGAGUCAUCAGCUCGCGUUGAUUACGUCCCUGCCCUUUGUACACACCGCCCGUCGCUGCCCGGGACUGAGCCAUUUCGAGAAAUUUGGGGACCGUUGAUUUAAUUUUUCUAAAUUACUUUGAUGGAAACCAAUUUAAUCGCAGUGGCUUGAACCGGGCAAAAGUCGUAACAAGGUAGCUGUAGGUGAACCUGCUGCUG